rnacentral:rRNA from 1 species
GCGUCAUUUCAACCCUCAAGCCCCCGGGUUUGGUGUUGGGGAUCGGCGAGCCCUUGCGGCAAGCCGGCCCCGAAAUCUAGUGGCGGUCUCGCUACAGCUUCCAUUGCGUAGUAGUAAAACCCUCGCAACUGGUACGCGGCGCGGCCAAGCCGUUAAACCCCCAAC